GCCGUGGCGUCGCCGGCGAGGAGAUAGGGGGUAGGGGGCAAGAGGUGGAAGAAGAAAUCGGUCGGGAGGAGGUAAAAGAGCCGCAUCCGCCUCAUGCCUCAAGCCGCCUCCUGGCAUGGACACCUUCGCCCUGAACCUGGCGGCGGCAACCAAGCUCAACCACGAGCUCGCCUGUACCCCACGCCCACACAGGCCGAUUUGUCUCCUAAGAGUCAGUUUGAAAAUUUUCAUAAAGGUAGCCACAGAUAGGCUCAACGCGGCGGCUGACCGCAUGGUCCGCCUGUCUCAAACUACAUUCAUGCAAGGAAGAAACAUCGAGUAGUUAUCCUACAUGAGACCGUCCAUGAGAUGCGCCGGAAAAACAUGAGUGGUUGAUCUUUUAAGAUUGACCAUGCUCUUUGCCGGUGUGUAAUCCACUGUGUGUGCGUUGCUGUUGGAUGUGUACAUCCUAGUCAUGCAGAGGCCAGGUGUGUGCUCGUUGUGCCUAUCCUUUUGAUGUGACCUUAUGAGUCAAUAGAAAGCGCCCUUUAUCGAAAAAAAACACUAAGAAAAGGGCUGAAGUUGUUUUUACCAUUGUUGAGCUUGCCAGUUAUCUAUGAAGGUACACCAGCAAUCAUGGUACUUACGCAAGUAAACUGAAUACAAUGUUCAUGUUCUGAAAAAAUGGACUAAAUAAUCCAAUGCACCUUUCCUUUUGUAUCUGCUAGUUGAAUCACUUCUACUGUGACUCACAAUCCUUGGGGGACCCAAUCCUCCUCUUUGAGUCAUCGCAGUAAUCAUAGACCUUGGAGUUGGCAGCCACCUCCUUCAGUUGCUGUUGCUGCGUCUGGUCCAGUUCCGGGCCGGACGAACCAGGGGAGCUCUGGCCGCAGGCCUUGGAGCUUGGAGAGCAGGUGGAGGCCUUGUAGUUCCGGAAGUAUGCUGUGAACGGUGCUAGUGACCAGUCGGUCUUGACCCGCCCACCCUGUGUCGCCCAGUCAUCCGCAUUCCAGAUGGUGCUGUACACCCUCAUUGGUUGAUAGUUUGGAUAGGGGGCACCAUACAUCAUCUGGUUCUUGAUCUGCCGGAUCAGCUUGUUAUCGACAAGGAUUCUGCAACCCAGCAACAUCCAUAUGAGCUAGGCUUAGUGCUUGCAAAUGCCUUUUCAGUCUAAAAAUUAUUUAACAUGUCCGACUAAACUGAGCAUUCAUGCUUCAUUUGGAACCAAAGGCUAUUUAGAUAGGAGGGGGUAGCUUAGCUAAGCAGGUAUUAGGUUGAACAAGAAUGGAGUAGAUAGGAGUGGGGCUCACCGGAUGUAUUGUUGGGUCCAAAUGAUGCUGUAGGUGUGGAAGUCCUGGGAGGGAUCAAACCAAAGCCGGUACCCCUUCUCUCUGCUGCCUACGCCUCUGGCAUACACGUUGGUGUGCAGGGUGUAGGGGUUGCCGGUGCUGUUCCCCAGGAAUUCAAGGUCGAUCUCAUCAUGGUAUUGCCAUGGUCCCUCUGACAUCAUCUAUUCCCAGAUUGCAAUGCAAGAUGGUUAGUCUUAGUAUUGACAAGUUGACGUGAACGGCGUUAAUCAGUCCAUCACUUACAUAAAAUGUUGUCACUGUGCCGGCUGAGUUCCCGGGCACGAGCUUGAUUUCCAUGUCAAUCCUCCCGAAGAGGUACUUGAUUUUCGAGCUGAAUCCGGAGGUCGUGCUGCGGUCGAGACUCAUCGCGACAGUCUGUCGGCCGGCGCCGUCGCGGAGAACGUUGCACUUUCCCCACAGGAGAUUGACCUCAUCGGUCAUGUCGGCGGCGACCUGGGGGGUGGCCAGGGCGACGAGGUAGAAUGCCGCUAGGGAGGCUAGGAGGUAAGCCCUAGCCUGGCCCAUGGCUUUGGUGGUGUUAAGAGAGUGAGCACUAGGACUGGGCGCAGUGUGAUUGUGCUGCUCGUUAAUGGUAUGGGCGGGCUUAUAUGUAGAAAGAGGUGCAGGGGAGAUUAGGGCUUAUGUGGAAAGAGGUGCAGGGGAGAUUAGUUGGUCCACGUCUAAACAGGAUGAACUUUAAUAGUAAUUAUUCUUGGAAGAUGUAAGAAACUGGAGACAAUCAUGAAGCGGGCGGGCAUAAAGAAUCUUGAUGGAAGUGGGCUUCAUUUAAAGCUUGAUCAGUGAUCGAGUUGAGUGGACUAAUGGUUCAUUUAAAGCUUGAGCAGUCAGUGCCCGAGCUGAGUUGACUAAUGGUUCUAGCUAGGGAUCUAUCAUGGCAACAAUCUGUGAGCUGCGGGGGGGCUACCGUAGCGUGGCUUCUGACAGACUAGGCUGGUUCUCCAGCAAGUUGAAGAUAUAUGAUACUACGAUGGAUGGGUUUUGUUUCAUUCCCUGUUGUGGUGCAGUUUUACUUUUACGUAUCGGAUCACUAGAUCCACUGAAUAAUUCAGUAUGUACACUCAGUCGUAAAGCAUCUUGCUUUCCCAAGCCCUCCAAAUUUGUACGUCUCAGAUCUAGGGCGGCGAUAUCUUCAUCUCCUCCAGCACUCGGUCACAAUUCAGAAUCAUCUGUUGCAGUUCCAAGCCCUGAACUAACUUUCAGAUAUGUGCAGUUUCUUGCAUUCAGACUUCCGAUGUAUACUGGUUGUUCUCUCUCUCAAAUAGAAAAGAGAUGUAUACUGCUUGUUCGGUGGAUCCUCUGAAAGAUUUUGCAUUCGUGAGAUUGUGUAACAGUUAGGUUCGUUAUAGAUGAAUCUUUGGAAGGAGUAUGAAAAAACUUGUCAACUAGGUUAGUAUCUACUAGGUUGGGAGAUCUAAUGGUUGAUCUAUUAACUAAUGCAACUAUGAAAAUGAUGAUGUUCCUCCAUAGGCAUCGAACUGGAAGUCAGAAGGCGAAGUUUGUCAACUGCACAUAACGAGGUGCUGCACAAAAAACUAAAAAUACCGGAAAAUAGUUACAUGAAAGUUUCUGUUUAACCUGCUGUGCAUGUGUGUGCACUUGCCCCCAUAAACCCUUGGGAGACUCAUUUCUACACUCUGAGUAGCUGAAAUCUGGUUGGCCAGAUUUGCUAUGCAUGCUCACAGGAAGUCAUACCGGUGCUUGUUCGAUCUGGAAUCUGAAGUUUUCCAUACUGUCAGAAUUAUAUUUACAGGAGCAUUGCGUGUUAGGAAGCAUUUACACUUGACCUGUCUUUGAAUUGUUUUUGCAUUACAGAAACGAAUAUAAGUCUCAUAAACUUAGUUUUGUUAUAUAUAGUUCUCUUAUCAUGUACUGUCUCAGCAUGAUUUCUCAUAAAAUCGUUACAUUUUUGCGAUCCAGGGUGGUGAUGAAGCAAGAGAAGACCUGAUGGUAGGCAACACCACUUUGUUGACGAGUGAUUAUACCAAUCCAGCCAUCUUUUCAUUGAGUUUACUGUCAGAAAAUGCAUACAUCUCUGCAGUUAUUUUACAGAUAAAGCAAUUCAUCAUGAUCUGUACAGUUCAUGUCUACACUCUGAGUAGACAUGAUCUGCAGAGGCAUUUGGUUGAGUUGGUGACAGUCUGGCAGGUACACAUGAUCUGCACAGGCAUUUGGUUGACCCUGCAAUCUAACCAUUUCUUACUGUUGUUGCCGUGUUGGUGUUUGUGCUGAAAGGAUCGUGAAGCGUCCGUGCCUGCGGUACAGGUCUCACAUGGGCCGCAAUUUAUCGAGGUCCGUACCUCUAUGAUGCUCUCGGAUUAAUGGCCGCCAUUUGUCUAUGCGCAACCAGAUGAGCAUACCUAGGGUCCAGAGAUGGCAUCGAUUCUGUGCUGCUGAUCGAGAUUUGAAUCAAUACUAAUUUUUAAAGGCUCUGUGUCUGGCUUUGUGGAUCCUAUGUAGGUAGUGAGUGGUGUCUGAGGUAAUUGUGUCCAUGGAAUAAUCUUGACCUGAAAUAUCGUUUGGAUGGAGCACUGUGCAAUACAUACAUUUGUGCCAGAGGAAGAUGGAAAUGUAAAUUUUCUUUUUAAUGCACCAUUUGGAACCUAGGAAAUUUUCCUGGAAAGUUCCUUUUUUUACCCUAGACACUGGUUUAUUUGAAAUCCUGCAUUUCAAACUUGAGUUUGUUCGAUUUGCAUAUGGGGGACCCUCUGAUAUUUCAGACCCUGGUUUGGAUGCUCCAAAUGAUAAAUGUUUUUGGACAAUGGUAUUUACAGGUGCCAAACCAGCAAGUUCCAUUGUGCUCGGUGCCAAGACUGUUAGCUGUGUCUGGCUGAUGGGUGAUGUGGCGGACUCCAGGCUCAUUUUAUUUUGAGCAGUGGUAACAUGGUUCAAAAUGUGUUUGCAUCUGAAAGAUAUGUUAG
rnacentral:lncRNA from 1 species